CCACAAGUCAAAAAAACUAACGAUUAAGUCCAAAAUGUAUUCUACAAGUUUCACACAUCCAAAAUAGGUCUAAAACCAAAUUGAAAACCAAACCGACUUAUACUAGCUCGAAAAGUUGGCUUAGCCGACUAGGGCAGGAUUUAGCUUACCGACUAAGGCAGUCUGCUAAGCUGACUAGUUCUUAAAGAACCUGCUAAGCCGGCUUGGUGAACCAGCCAAGCCGACUCUGCCAAGGCAGGCGCUGUUUCCUCCAUUUUUGCUCGAUUCGUUCGUUCUGUUGCGCCAAAUAUUUUCCAACACCUCAAAGAUGCCAGGAACACCCGGCUUUGUUGUUUUACAUGUAAGGGCUUUUAAAGCAGGCUUUGUUGUUUUACAUGUAAGGGCUGGCCCCGCCAGGCUCUCCAACUUCAACUAUCAAAUCACUUGAGCAGCACUAGCAAAGAUUUCCUUUUCUCUCUCAUGUCUAAAAUGAACUGGAAAAUCGGAGGAGCUAUUGCGUUCAUGUUGGCUGCACAUAUGUAAAAACUGGACCACGUCAAGGGUGCCAUGUUCUACCUAAUGUACCCAUAUGCAUGUAUAAACGCCAACCAUGAAAUGAAUAGGCUCAUAGCACAAAGCUCAACUUUAUUUCACACAUGAGAAAAACAGGUUCUUUGUUUUUUUGUAGCACUGAUGAAAAAGAAGUGGCAGCUCUUAGCUAUCUAGAGUUUCGUGAGGUGCUGCUAUAUAUGACUGAAAAAAAUUCGUUAGCAUCACUGCUUUUCCAACAUAUUUCAUUAUGGUCAAUAUAUUGUCUAACUUCCACACACUUGGUUCUUGUUUUAGUCCACACAUUUAUUUGACAUCAAACUGAAGCCACUGUAUAAAAGUAGCACCAAAAAGGCCAGGGCCGCUAUCCAAAAAAGACAGAUAUAUAUGAUAUUAUUAGCAGACGCAACAGAACCCUUUUUUCAAUAAAUGGCCCCAUAACUACAUACAAGCUAAAGAGAGAAGCAAUAGUGUAGCAAUGAUGUUGCUUUGAUCCUCCCACAUAGAUUAUAUAGUCCAUCCGUCCUGUAAUAUAGUACAUUCUAGAAUUUAAAAUUCAUCUUCAAAUAUAUAAUGCAUUUUGGAGGACAAAUUCCAAUUUUAAAUUCCAUUUAACAAACAAUCACCAUUAAUCACAUUGAUGUUAGGCUCCGAUUAGGUAAUAAAACAACAGUAAACACAUCUUUUAUGUUGUCCCUUAAUUUGUCUUAAAAUAUUUAGAAUGCACUAUAUUACGGGACAUAGAGUACAUGUCUGUUGCAAGCCCCAUUCAACCUAGACCAAAAUUACUUGGCAUAUCUUCAUGGUUUAUUUAUACUCCUAUGCAGUAAGAUUAGAAGGCACCAGGAACUAAACUUGGCUCUGACAGGUCCAUGGUCAGUCAGCAGCAGCGGGAAUAUUCUACUGAGGAUGAGGAAUCGCCAUGGUCAAAUGUGUAGAGAACAUAUCUAGGAGCCACUCUUGACCAAGCGAGUGACUCGUAUGUGAUGGCAUGAGGAAGCCGACUACCCGAGCAGGUCGCCUAGCUAGAUUUCGGGCCACAGUUACAUGGGGUACAUGGGGUUUCCAGGUCCUGAGUAGGGCCACGCCCUAGAGGCCCUAGGCCUAGGCCCUAUGGUACACCUUUUACCUUUACUAAUUUGAAUCUACUUGAAAAUAUUAUAAUAUCACUUAACACGUGCUCAUCGUUUGUUAAUAACAUCAUUAUGACGACGCCCUGAGCUGCACGAUCUUGGUCAGGCUCCCUACAGACUAAAAAAAAUAG
rnacentral:lncRNA from 1 species